rnacentral:rRNA from 1 species
GACGAGCCACACGAACGUUAUUCGGAAUUACUGGGCUUAAAGGGUGCGUAGGCUGCGCGGAAAGUUAGGUGUGAAAUCCCUCGGCUCAACCGAGGAACUGCGCCCAAAACUGCCGUGCUCGAGGAAGAUAGAGGUAAGCGGAACUUACGGUGGAGCGGUGAAAUGCGUUGAUAUCGUAAGGAACACCUGUGGCGAAAGCGGCUUACUGGGUCUUUUCUGACGCUGAUGCACGAAAGCUAGGGGAGCAAACGGG